UUUUCCAUGGGAUAUGUUUUUUGGGGGUCAUUUCUCAGUACUCCCAAAGCUGUACCUUAAUGAUUGGUUUACUUACAUACCCUUGUAACCAGUUUAUUGAAAACAAAAAUUAUUUCUUACUCUACAGUUUUCCUUCUUGGCAAUUUCUUAUUGCAUUUCCUUCCAGCCUGUGUAGCAACACUACUUAUAGACUACUUCUAGAAUCUUGCAGUUUAGAGCUGUAGAGCAGCCAAGAUCCCUUUAUAAGGAACAUUUAAAUAGACUUAUGUUCUCAUUAGCAUAAACACCACUAGUAGUUGAAUUGGAAUAUCAAUUUUAAAAUUCUGAAUUGCUAAAAAAC
rnacentral:lncRNA from 1 species